GACGAACGCUGGCGGCGUGCUUAACACAUGCAAGUCGAACGGUAAGGCCCUUCGGGGUACACGAGUGGCGAACGGGUGAGUAACGCGUGAGUAACCUGCCCUUGACUCUGGGAUAACAGAUGGAAACGUCUGCUAAUACCGGAUACUCAGCCUUGUGGGCAUCCACAGGGUUGGGAAGCUCCGGCGGUCAAGGAUGGACUCGCGUCCUAUCAGCUAGUUGGUGGGGUAACGGCCUACCAAGGCGACGACGGGUAGCCGGCCUGAGAGGGCGACCGGCCACAUUGGGACUGAGAUACGGCCCAGACUCCUACGGGAGGCAGCAGUGGGGAAUAUUGCACAAUGGGCGAAAGCCUGAUGCAGCAACGCCGCGUGCGGGAUGACGGCCUUCGGGUUGUAAACCGCUUUCAGCAGGGACGAAGCGCAAGUGACGGUACCUGCAAAAGAAGCACCGGCUAACUACGUGCCAGCAGCCGCAGUAA
rnacentral:rRNA from 1 species